CAGCCGCCACGGGAAUACAGAGGGUGCGAGCGUUAAUCGGAUUUACUGGGCGUAAAGCGUGCGUAGGCGGCUAAUUGAGUCGGAUGUGAAAUCCCCGAGCUUAACUUGGGAAUUGCAUUCGAUACUGGUUAGCUAGAGUGUGGGAGAGGAUGGUAGAAUUCCAGGUGUAGCGGUGAAAUGCGUAGAGAUCUGGAGGAAUACCGAUGGCGAAGGCAGCCAUCUGGCCUAAUACUGACGCUGAGGUACGAAAGCAUGGGGAGCAAACAGGAUUAGAUACCCGGGUAGUCCCUGUCUCUUAUAC
rnacentral:rRNA from 1 species